UGGGGAGUAGCCAAGGGGUAAGGCAACGGGCCUUGGACCCGUGAUCGGAGGUUCGAAUCCUCCCUCCCCAGCCA
rnacentral:tRNA from 1 species